rnacentral:lncRNA from 1 species
CCGCCUUAACUUGUUGACAAGUCAGACACUGAGCCACACAUCUUCCAAUGUCUCUCUUCACCCUAUUCCACCAGAAGUGUCUUCAAAUCCUUAUACAUCUUAAUUCCACCAGGAUGAACUGUAUAAGGCGAGUAAUAAGCCUCUCUCAAAAUCUCCUCUCGAAUCUCUGAAUCCAUAGGUAUACACAGUCAGUCCAUGUACUGCAGUACUCCCGAACUGUCACUAAUAAAGUCCAUUAUCUUUCCGCUCUCUGUUUGCUCUCGAAUCCUUAACAAAU